rnacentral:rRNA from 1 species
AACGAACGCUGGCGGCAUGCCUAACACAUGCAAGUCGAACGAGACCUUCGGGUCUAGUGGCGCACGGGUGCGUAACGCGUGGGAACCUGCCCUUAGGUUCGGAAUAACUCCCCGAAAGGGGUGCUAAUACCGGAUAAUGUCUUCGGACCAAAGAUUUAUCGCCUUUGGAUGGGCCCGCGUUGGAUUAGCUAGUUGGUAGGGUAAAAGCCUACCAAGGCGACGAUCCAUAGCUGGUCUGAGGGGAUGAUCAGUCACACUGGGACUGAGACACGGCCCAGACUCCUACGGGAGGCAGCAGUGGGGAAUAUUGGACAUUGGGCGAAAGCCUGAUCCAGCAAUGCCGCGUGAGUGAUGAAGGCCUUAGGGUUGUAAAGCUCUUUUACCCGGGAUGAUAAUGACAGUACCGGGAGAAUAAGCUCCGGCUAACUCCGUG